GAUGAAGAACGUAGCGAAAUGCGAUACUUGGUGUGAAUUGCAGAAUCCCGUGAACCAUCGAGUUUUUGAACGCAAGUUGCGCCUCAAGCCAUUAGGUUGAGGGCACGUCUGCCUGGGCGUCACAUAUCGUUGCCUGAUGCCAGUUUCCUCGUGAUGGGUGACUGUGCAGGGCGAAUGAUGGCUUCCCGUGAGCAUUGUUGCCUCAUGGUUGGUUGAAAAUUGAGUCCUUGGUAGGGAGCGCCGUGAUAGAUGGUGGUUGAGUGACGAACGAGACCCAAUCAUGUGAGACCCAUACCGAAUUUGGCCUUCAUGACCAACAUGCGUCUUUGGAACGCUCAUGACGAGACCUCAGGUCAGGCGGGGCUACCCGCUGAGUUUAAGCAUAUCAAUAAGCGGAGGA
rnacentral:misc_RNA from 1 species